UAGGGUGUUUUCUAUCCAUAUAUAAUAAGUAUAUGCAUAUUCUAGUUACUGGGUAGGAUUAGUAACCAGAUUAAAUCGGGUACGUUUUUUUAUCCAGCCGUGAAAAUACUGCCCCCUAGCCCCAACAGGUUAAACAUGUCUGUAAAAUCACAAUGUGAACAUCGACCUAUCAAGUAAUUUUUCAUAAAUCAUUGGGUACAAUGCAAGAACAAAUGUGAGAGUAAUCUGAAGUGGUUGCAUUAAUUCAUGUUCACAUUUACAACAUAACAUGCAUGAGCAUUUCAUCACUAAGACUUUUUGGGAAUAAUGUCUGAAGGGUGAAAAUCCCAAAACAUUCUCUUUUGUGCAGAGUAUUAUUUAUACCACCUCCCCUGUAUUAUAUCUUGACUUUCUCUAUGCCACAACAUCUAAAAAGUAGAAAUGUCAUGUUUUUGGUCAUUUAAAAUGUACUGACUGGAUAAUCCCUGUCGUUUCUCCUGAUUUAACUUUUAUGUUCACUAAUUCUCUGUUUGAGAGAACGAGAGGUUUUACCUACAUAACACAGCCCACAUGGACAUUUAAUCAUGUAGGUAACAUGGGUGGUGGAGCACGUAAUAAUGUAAUUUAUAUGGAACUGUUUUCCUGUAUGUGGGUGGCAGAAAUAUUCACACUUCAUCAUAUUGUUGCACUGUGCGCAACCUCUGCAUUUAUAGCUACCAUUCGGAAGAGCGUGUAAAAGAGCCAGGAUCAUUUGCUUUAGUGGCUGGCAGUUGGCAUGGACCAAUUUGUCACGUAAAUUGCGACCUUUCCUAUAUACAAUAAGUGGUGGGUUCUUAAAUUCAGCUGGCAAAGCUGGGUCCAAUGAUAAAACACGCCAAUGGGUUUUGCUCAUGAUAGCUUGAACUGACAAUGACUUGGUGAUAAAAACCUAAAAGAUAGCAUUCCAUAGACAAGAUGUGGUGUGUGUGACCCGAGAUAGAGUCAGGAAGAGUUUUUAGAACAAUGCCUCAUUGUCUCAUCUUCCUGGCAUUGGGAAACUAAGCCGAGUUGGAAGUAAAACAACGUCCCGUGCAGAUAACCUGGAGAUGGACCAAGGUGGUUUGUGGGAAGGGUAUAAAUGACUGACUAAGCAUUUUUUAGGGCCUAUAUAGAGUGUGGGGUCGACACUUUCAUUGUUGCAAUAAUGAAUCAAUGUUAAAUAAAAAUUAUUGUUUGAAUAAUUGUCCAAGUCUCUCUCAGUACUGGAACUUCCACAACAGUUUUGGCGACGAGUGUCCGUGUAUAUGUGAUGAGAAAAGGAGUCAAUCGCAGGACACCGAACUGAGUAAAAAUUAAGUAAUUUACUCAACAUAAAAAUUCAGUAUACAAAAUCCAUGCAGGGAAAACAAGAACUACAAAACCAACGAACAAUACCAACAGUAAAACAAUAACGCACAAAACAUCAUGAUGACCAGAGGGUUAAAAUAGGGCAGUAAUCAUAACCAAAUGGGAACCAGGUGUGAACAAUCAAGACAUAACCAAUCGACAAAGAAACAUGGAUCGGUGGCAGCUAGAAAGCCGGUGACGAUGACCGCCGAACGCUGCCCGAACAAGGAGAGGCACCAACAUCGGCGGAAGUCGUGACAACGAGGAGGAUCUCUGCAACUUCACCUGUUGACCGCUCCUGAAGAUCUGGGUAAACUGUGCACAGGGGAUCCAAAAUUGGGAGCUCGGGGAAACCACACUCCAAAGGAGAAGCUGGACCCUCCUCAGAUCUGCAGGAAGCGGGCACGGAUGGAUAUCAGAUCUCGAACAUAGUGCUGAGAGAGGUGAGCUUGGACAAUCUAUCAAUAAGUGAUACAAAAAAAUAUAUAAAUAACAAAAGCCCCUGUCAAGGGUAUGCUCAGAGCAAGGUCUUCCUUAAGAGGGCCACAACUGAGGUAACUAGCAGGACUGAGUUGAGUUGAUAAGAGUGUUCUUAAGUGAGGUUUCCUUGGGCAUGAUUGAGAAUUAGCCUGUUGCGGGCAACCAAAAGUCCAGAUCCGUGGUACUGGGUUGAUCACAGUAGGACUGGUGAUGUUAAUGUGUAGAGCGAGAGACUAGAGCGCAGGUGACGCCUUACAAGGGCACCUGGCAUGGUGAAUUUCAAAUGAUAUGUAUGUAGUUGAUUAAAUGUUUUGUUGAUGAAGUAAACAAGUAUGCCCUGGGUCAGUAUUGUUAGUUGUUAUUGUUAUUCCUGGUUAGAUAAUAACCCGUUUUGGGACCACAAGUUAGGCAAUAUUUUGAUAAUGGUAUGGUUUUCCCUGCUCAUAUAGAGAGGGUUUACAAUCUAAAAACAGCGCUAACGAUUUAAUAAAAAAAUGUUUUUGACUGUCUCAUUCCCUAUGUUUGUGUUUUCUGUGAGUGUGUGAGUGAAGGAGCCGGAACCAUGGGAGCACACGGUAGCGAAGGACACGGAAUUCCAGAUCCCCCAAAGGAUGCCCUGAAGGUUAAGUGCUGCCUGUGGCUGUCGACCUUCUUUCCCCCGCCUCUGCCUGAUGCCCUAGCUCUGCACUCCACUACGCCUCUUCACCCAACUCUGUUCCUCCCCUCUCGUAUGAAUCUCCCCUAGCAGCAGCGGUGGACCAACUGCUCUCUGAACUGGCCAUGCAUCAACUCCAAAACCAACCAGAAAAGGGUGCUGCUGGAGGAGCCAGAGCAGAAUGUAGGAAGAGCAACAACCUCUUCUCACAAUAACCACCUCUAGCCAGCCCGUUGGAGGAUGAUGACGACAACAGUGAUACAUCCUCUCAGAACGGAGCAUCAGCUCCCUACUCUCUUCCCCUCCGCUUAAGAGCCAUCUGCAAAGGAAGAUAGACCCGCCGACACCCUCACCAUAUGAUCUAGCACCAGAUAUGUAUCAACAGUACCCUCUGAUUGCAUGUCCAAACCCUCAGCCAUGACCAGCUGCAGGCCACACUGAUUUGGCUGCCUGGCAACCAAUCAUAUACCCAGAGGUCAUGGAGACAUGAUGAAAUUAAAGACAUUGUUGAGGAUUUGCCUGACCCCAGCAAAGAUGCGGUAAAGUUUGCAGCAGAAAUGAGGGUUCUGUCAGGACAGCACCAGCCAUCUGCAGCUGAGAUAGCCCAUAUCUGUAAGAAGAAACUAGGGCUUAGGUGGGCUGAUGUAGAAGGGGACUUUGAUUAUAAUCAGCUCUGGGAUGGGAAUGGAACUGUAUCCCGUCAAGACUGACUGGACAUCCAUCAGAGAAUGCACCAUCAAGAAAGAUGAGAGCCUGGAAGCGUAUUGAAGGAGACUGGAAACCUGUUUCAGGCUGCAAAGCGGCAUCAGACCAAAUUACCUGGCAUAUGGAAAUCUGUUGUAGGACGCCCUGAUGAGGGGCCUGACACCAGACUUGGAGAAAGCGGUGAGAACCACCUGUAUCAGUUGGGAAACUGAACCCCUGUCCACUGUGGUACAACAUUGCAAACAUGCUGAGCGACAACAAUGUGCUCAGAAGGAAGAAAAUACAAAAGAAGAAAGAGUGAAGACUGAAAUUGCAUUCUACCAAGACCAGGUGCCUGCUGGAGUGGGAGGUGGUGGAGGUGGAAGAAAACCCAAACUUGGAAGUUGCUUCACCUAUGGCAAGCCAGGCCAUUUCGGUGCACAAUGCAAUCAAGCCCAGCAGCUGAUGGGAAGAGGCAGGGGCAGACCAAGAGGCAGAGGAGCCCCAAGGGGGGCCCCUCGAGGAGGAGGUCCACCAGGAGGACAAGGAUUGUGGUAUCCCCCUGCUCAACAGCCAUGGCAGCCGCCACCCAACCAAUGGCCAGGGCCACCCCCACAUGGGGGCCCUCCGCCACCGUGGGGACCACAAGGGAGCCCUCAAGGCAGAGGCCAAUCUGGGCAAGGGCAGAUGGGCCCGCCUGCACAGACGACCCUGUACAAUCCAGGACAAGAAAAGGAGGAAGAAUAUUGACAUGGAGAGACAGACACAGAUGAGGUAGAAUCGUCAGGGCAACCAGUGCAUUUGUUUUUAAAGAGCCAUACCCUUCCUCGAAUUGAGCCAACAGUAGAGGCUUGCGUCAAUGGGUGAAAGCAGCUUUGCCUCAGCCCCUGGUGGGAAUCCUACAUAAGCUUCAACCUGGUGACUGGGUUGUGGUCAAGGACCUGAGGAGGAAGCAUUGGACCCAGCAGAAGUGGAAUGGCCCAUUCCAGGUGUUGCUGAUAAACCCCACCACUGUUCGAGUGGCUGAGAGAUCGACAUGAGUACACUCCAGCCACUGCAGGAAGGUCCCAUAUGAUCCAGUUUCAGAUGUCCCGGAGGAUGGGUUUCCGCCAGCCAUGACCUAGUUGGCCGUGGGAGAAUCAGGAUGAAGUCAGAGGAAUCCUGGUUGUUGCAUUCUUUGCCAGCCUCUUCAUCUCAAUGACUGUUUGAACCCUGCAGAGAGGGGAAUAGGCGAAAGGGGAGGAUGGCCCAAAUAUCACUGCAGUCCCAAAGCUGGGACUUAAUAACAGCCACUCCAGCUCAAGCCAAUGGCAGGCUCAGGACAUGAGUCCAGUAAACAAUAGCCACACUGAGACCAGAAGAAGCAGGAGCUCGAUGCAUCCACUGGAUGAGCAUCACAGCCAGAAUCAUGAGGAAAACACUUGGUGGUCACUGCUUAAUUAUACAGUAAAAACUGAACUAAUGGUAGAAAACACCUCCUGUCAUGUAUGUAGUCUUUUUCCACGCUCAGCGAUCUCAACAUUCUUACAGUAUUCAGUAGAGGCCAGCAUUAACGACACUCUAUGUGCACUGGAAGUCAUCUUAUCAAAUUAAACUUCAUGGGGUUAACCUUCACAGGGUAGAACUAUGAAGGAAAAAUGCAUUAAUGAUGAUUUGUCAUUGUCAAAAGAUAUGAGGCAGAUUUGAUUGUAAACGUUGGUGUACUAAAAUGAUUUUAGAACCUAGACACCGUGUACUGAAACCUAUACUAAUCCAACCCCGCCAUUGUCACAACCCAAGUAUUAUCUCCAUACCACGAUCUUAUGAAUCCUAUUUGGGAAUGUCAACAUGUGUUAAUUAUAGUCUUCCCAUUAGGAUGUAGCUGGAUAAAUGGAACAUGCAAUUCUAACUGGCCUGUUAAACUUAAUGUGGGGCACACCACCAUUCAAGUAGAAACAGACGAGCGCUGUCCACAUCAAUAUGGCUCAGCCACGUUUAAUGAUCAUUAUUGGAUCUGUGGUAAUAAGGCAUAUCUUUAUUUACCAACAAAUUGGACAGGGUGCUGUGUUUUUGGUAAACUAAACAUCUCCAUUGUUGUAAUGCAUAAAACAAACUCCUCCAUUCCACGCAGAUUAAGACGGAUUAGGAGGAGCAUUUCACAAUUGAAUGACGUUCCAAUUGAGUCACGACGAUCCUCAGAACUUGAAGUUUUGGCAUGGGUUAAUUUCUUGAUAUGGGGCAUCGGAAAAUGCCCAUGACUUAGAACGAUUGGGAUAUCAUUUAGAAACUUUUGUAAAUUUAAACCACUUCAGGAUUUUCGAUAAUGAGACCAGAAUUACAAGCAGCUCGCCUCACGGCUAUACAGAAUAGAUUAGCACUUGAUAUGUUACUAGCACAGGAAGGGGGAGUGUGCCAAAUGAUAGGUGAAUAUUGCUGUACAUUCAUACCCCAGGAUGAGGGUAACUUCACUAUUGUUGUGGAACAUCUGGAAGAGCUCACCGGCGAUCUCACAAAAGAACACCAACCAGACAACAAUUGGAAUCCGUUUGGAUGGGUUCAAUCAUUAUUUGGUGUUAUGGAAACAACAGUUUUCCAUUGGCUCAUUUAUGGCCAAUUAAUAUUUUUUGCUGUGCUAUUUCUUAUUGUCUAUGUUAAAAAUCUUUGUUGUAAAGUGCUGGAUACUGCCCUCACUAUGCCAUUGCUUGAUGUUCAUGCUGACUCUGAGGAUGAUGAGAAUAAUGAUGAUGUAUCUAUAAAUGAUCGAAUGCCUGAUAUUCCAGACCUAUUUCCCAUUCCUGAUUACAUACAGUGGGGAGAACAAGUAUUUGAUACACUGCCAAUUUUGCAGGUUUUCCUACUUACAAAGCAUGUAGAGGUCUGUAAUUUUUAUC